rnacentral:rRNA from 1 species
AUGAAAUGCCCACAACGCGCUGCAGCGACGUCUUCUUCUCCUCUCUUCGCGGUCGCUCGCCGGUCCAUGCUGCCAUCCACCAAUGUUACAAGUCAACAUCUAAAAGGUUGUCCAAGAAGGUAUGAAGGUCAACGUGACAUCCUGUCCAACCAAACCUAUAAUCUUGACCAACUUGCUUUCGCAUCAGACAGAAUUAAAGAUGCUCAACACACUAUGACUGCAAUGAAAGCUGCCAAUACAGAGCUGAAAGGGAUGAUGAAGACUGUCAGGAUUGAAGAUAUAGAUAGCAUGCAAGACGAGACGAUGGAUGUUAUGGAUGUGAGCAGUGAAAUACAAGAAACUCUUGGUAGAAACUACAAUGUCCCAGAUGACAUUGAUGAGGAGGGACUUAUUUGUAGUUGGCUAUUCUUAGAUGACUCAAACACCAGGAGGAUGAACUAG